rfam:Aspergillus lentulus DNA, contig: Alt09, strain: IFM 54703.
GGACGCGUAGCUCAGUUGGUUAGAGCGACGAGCUUAUGAGGUCGUCUGUGAUCCUCGUAGGUCGGGAGUUCGACUCUCCCCGUGUCCA